CAGCCCUAUAGGAGACACCUCCAGAGAAAGUAACAACUCUCAGUUGAUUAGCUGAGGAAGACACCAAAUGAGCUACACUGUUUUGGACUCCCCAACACAACCCAGCCACCGGCUGAAUGCCACCAAAUUACCUUCUAGUUAAAGCUUUAUGGAGCAAACGAAUCACCUAUUCAAUAUCUGCUUGAAUUUCUGACUCAAAAUAUAUCAGAAGCUUCAGGGGCUGGAUCCUGACAUGAACCAGGCACCUCCAGAAUUCUAUCCCAAGCAAAAGAUUACUUCAAGGCCAGAACUCACUCCCUGCUGGAGACUGACUACAAGAUCCACUGAGAUUGACUUGUAACCUGAUUGGGCCCACAGUGAUGCUAGCCCCUUCACCAGAUGGAACAAUAAUUCCAGACAAGCCAUCAGAGCAGGUCACACCGCUUGACACCUUCUCGCCCCCUUGCCUCUCCUGCAUUCCAAACCCCUCUCUUUAAAAUCCCCAUGUUCCCUCCGUAAGCUGGACAGUGCCAAUUGUUGGAAAGAAUUCUGGCAGUCUUUUCCUUCUUAGCAUGGAUAAAAAGAUUCACCCUCUUUUAAUCACACCUCACUCUUGUUAUUUUGGCUUCUUUCUACAAGUGGUGAGCAGCGAGGCCCCCUUUGCUGGUUACAGUAUGAACUAUUUUAUUUUUUUAAAUCCACAAUAAAAUAAAAUACAUUCAUU
rnacentral:lncRNA from 1 species